GGUAAUUUCCCCUUUUAGCUCUCACUGUGUCAUUAUAAUUAGCAAAACCCAAGGGUUCAAAUCUGAGCUAACAAAGGGCAGUGGCAUGAUAGUUUGUAUGUUGUUACUGCUGCUUAUUACAUCUAUCAUUAUCAUCUCUCUGCGACCUUGGACUUACCCUGCUGGUUUAUCAUCUUUUCUCCCUGUCUCAUAGGCCUGCUGUAAGCUCUUUGGGGCAGAUCUGAUGGUUUAAUGAUUCAGCCCUACAACAACAAGAGUUUAUUCAGCACUGAGGCCCAUAGGAACCACAAACAAUCCAGCUUUUGGAAAGUGUGCUGACAGAUGCACUGUUUGAUGGCAGGUCUUUUGGAAAUGCUUCUUUGUCAAACAUGUCUUCUCCUGGAAGAUUGACUCCUGUAGGACUAAAAAAGGGCCAAGCCAUGAGUGCUGACAUGCAGCAGGACUGGAUCUGCUCAGCCUCCAAAUGUGGGCUGCUGUAGUGAGGGCAGAGGGAUAGGCCAGUCGAGCUCGUGUAAGGACCACUGUAAGAAGAGGAGGCUUGGCUGUAUGAUCAGAUUUAUCAGCAGAACAUUGCCCUCCAGGACAGACUGGCAAGUUGGAAGAUUUGGAUUUUGUCAUCCUCUGUUGCAAUCUGGUACUCUAUACCCAGCAGAGAUGGAGACCUCAUGCAUAGGCCUCAGUUGAGUCUUCUGAAAGUAAAGCUGUCACUUAGUGCUGCCACUGGCGCUUCCAGCAGAAGACCAAGCAUAAAUGAGUGUAAGAAGUGAUCUAACCCAUCUCCUUCCCUGUGAAGGCGGGACUUGCAGCAGCUGUGACAGGUACCCUCCCUGCCAAAUCUGACUGGAUGCAAAAGGCAACGCUUACCUCUCCUUGGACUGUACGUCUGGGACCUCUCAGAACCACUUAUUUAAAGAAAGAAAAAAGUCUAGUGAUGAUUCAGAGGCAGGAGCACGGCUAAGGCUCAAUACCCAGCAUUUGAGAGUCAGAGCAGUGUUAAUAGUCACUCUGAAACGUAAAAUUAUUCCCAAGGAUUUGAGGAGCUGCGUGCAUGCAUCUCUUACAGAACAUUCAGAGGGCGCACGUCUUGGUGACGAAUUAGUCAUCAAAUCCAAUGGUACAGCACUGGACCAGAAGAACAAAAACUGCUGAUGGCUAAAGAUCCGGCUUUAAAAAAGCAAAAAGAAUCAACACAGCCCCAUCAAACAACAACAACAAUUAAACCAACAAAGGAAAAACAAAGGAAAUUCCAUUUUUGAACCAUAUGAAGAAAUAGAACCAGAAUGAAGAAAAAGGAGCUGAUUUUGAGGCUGCAGAAAUGAAUAAAUAGUGCUCUACUGGGCUCUUUUUCCUUCUC
rnacentral:lncRNA from 1 species